rnacentral:rRNA from 1 species
UACAGAGGGUGCAAGCGUUGUUCGGAAUUACUGGGCGUAAAGGGCGUGUAGGCGGCCUAGCAAGUCAGAUGUGAAAUCUCCGGGCUUAACUCGGAACGUGCAUUUGAAACUGCUAGGCUAGAGUGUUGUAGAGGAUGGCGGAAUACCCAGUGGAGAGGUGAAAUUCGUAGAUAUCUGGAGGAACACCGGUGGCGAAGGCGGCAUCCUGGACCGGUAUUGACGCUGAGGCGCGAAAGCUAGGGUAGCAAACGGG